GAAAAUUAUAACAGUUCUUGGCGGCUUGACACCAUGGGUUUCCUUGCUUUGCUUAUGUUCGUUGUGCUAAUAUCAUCUAUUGUAGCGCCAGCAGCAACUCAAAAUAGGAGUCGCUGCUCUGAUCCUUGUGGAAAUUUAACCAUUCCAUAUCCUUUUGGUUUCGACGAGUGUUAUCUAAGCCCGGAGUUCCUCAUCACCUGCAACGAUAGUUUCAGCCCUCCGCAGCCAUUUCUGAGGAAAUCAAAUAUCAAGGUCACAAACAUAACUCUAGAUGGCAAGUUGGAAAUCGCCACAGUUGCUGCCCGAGAUUGCUACAACCAGUCGGGCGCACAUCAGCCGGGAUUCCGACGACAUAUCCUCAAUUUGUCAAAUUUCACAAUCUCAAAAUCCCGAAACAAGUUCACUGUUAUUGGCUGUGGCAGUUAUGCAUACCUCGAAGGCUUUCGACAUGGGAAAUUGUAUGCGUCGGGGUGCAUGUCUUUCUGUGCUGAGCGUGGAUUCGUGGACGAAAACUCUUGCUCCGGCAGUGGGUGUUGCCAGACAGAGAUUCCUGACGGACUAUACAGCUCUAAUAUCACUGCGUACAGCUUCUACAAUCACACCAAUGUCUCGGAUUUCAACCCCUGUACUUACGCCUUUAUUGUAGAAGAUAGCAAAUUUAAUUUCUCCUUCAAAUACCUUCAAAAUAUAUCAAAUACUACAGAAUUCCCAAUGGUGCUUGAUUGGUCAAUCAAGUACAACACAAGCGCCUGCAAGGAUCAUGCCCAAAGGUAUCGGCCACCUGACAACGUUUCGGGGUAUCUUUGUAAAUGCGAGACGGGUUACCAGGGGAACCCGUACGUUGGAUGCCAAGAUAUCGAUGAAUGCGAAAAUGAAAAUGACUGCACAAAUAAAUGCACUAACACGAUUGGAAGCUAUACAUGUUCUUGCCCGAAGGGAUACCAUGGAGAUGGAAGAAAGGGAGGAAAAGGUUGCACCCCCAAUCAAUUGUCACUUGUUAAAAUCACUCUAGGUAUUGGCAUAGGCUUUACAGCCUUGGUUGUUACGGCCUCCUGGCUUUACUUGGUCUUCAGGAAAAGAAAGCUCAUCAAGCUAAAGGAAAAAUUCUUCCGGCAAAAUGGUGGCGCCAUCUUACAACAGAAACUUUCUAGACGAGAAGGAACCCCUGAUCAUACGGCAAAAAUCUUUACAGCAGAGGAGUUGAAGAAGGCCACUGAUAACUAUGAUGAGAAUACAAUCAUUGGCAAAGGAGGUUUCGGCACUGUUUAUAAAGGAAUUUUAACAGAUAACAGACUAGUUGCCAUCAAGAAGUCAAUAACAGUUGAUCAAAACCAAAUAGAACAAUUCAUUAAUGAGGUGGUGGUGCUGUCCCAAAUUAACCACAAGAAUGUGGUCAGGCUCUUGGGUUGUUGUCUAGAGACUCCAGUCCCGUUACUAGUUUAUGAAUUCAUCACCAAUGGUACCCUCUUCGACCACAUACACAAUGAAAGCAAUGGAUUGCCAGCCCUCUCAUGGCAAACCCGUCUAAAGAUAGCUGCAGAAAUGGCAGGAGCAUUGUCCUAUUUGCAUUCAGCAGCUUCUGUGCCAAUCAUCCACAGAGAUGUCAAGACUACCAACAUCCUCUUAGAUGCUGAUUACACUGCAAAAGUGUCUGAUUUUGGAGCUUCAAGGUUGGUUCCACUGGAUGCGACUCAGCUAUCAACUAUGAUGCAAGGAACUUUGGGAUACCUGGACCCAGAAUACCUGCACACAAGCCAAUUGACUGAUAAGAGUGAUGUGUAUAGCUUCGGAGUAAUACUUGUGGAGCUACUGACAAGUAUGAAGGCACUCUGCUUUGAUCGUCCCGAGGAAGAGAGAAGUCUGGCUAUGUAUUUUCUUUCUUCUGUGAAAAGGGGAAAAUUGUUUGAGGUUCUUGAUUGUCGUAUCACAAAUCAAGGAAAGGAAGAGCAGAUUGAGGAAGUAGCGAGGUUAGCCACGAGUUGCUUAAGAUUGAAAGGGGAGGAGAGGCCCUCUAUGAAGGAAAUUGCAAUGGAAUUGGAGGGCCUGAGAAUGGUGGAAGUGCAUACAUGGCCUCAAGUGAACCCAGAGGAGACAGAGCACUUGCUUGGUGAGCAAUGCAACGAUUUUGGACGUGGAGAUGAUAGCACUGCAAGUGCUAGCUAUGAUAGCAUGAAAAACCAUGUAAUUUUAUCAGUAGGUGAUGGCAGAUGAC
rnacentral:misc_RNA from 1 species